GUACCUUCAAGCUUUGCUUGGUGUUGGGUGUUUGUCCUCUCCCUGGUGUUUGGACUCGCCUUAAAACAAUUGGCAGCCAGUGUUUUGGUAUUGAAGCGCAGCACAAUUUGCGAUUCUGGCCUUAAAAUACUAGCGUCCAUAAGUACAUUCUCAC
rnacentral:misc_RNA from 1 species